rnacentral:other from 1 species
GGUUAGCUGCGCGGUGCGUUAGGCCACCAUACCCCAGGGGCGAUAAUAUGCUCUUAGGGAGCUGUCACUGUCGGAAUCUUGGUUUCGGCAUACGGCGCCCACCUGGUUACCCAGGUCCUUGAGGGUUUGACUGGGCCGACGGCCGGUGCGGCGCCGCC